UGGCGGCAGGCCUAACACAUGCAAGUCGAGCGGUAGAGAGAAGCUUGCUUCUCUUGAGAGCGGCGGACGGGUGAGUAAUACCUAGGAAUCUGCCUGAUAGUGGGGGAUAACGUUCGGAAACGGACGCUAAUACCGCAUACGUCCUACGGGAGAAAGCAGGGGACCUUCGGGCCUUGCGCUAUCAGAUGAGCCUAGGUCGGAUUAGCUAGUUGGUGAGGUAAUGGCUCACCAAGGCUACGAUCCGUAACUGGUCUGAGAGGAUGAUCAGUCACACUGGAACUGAGACACGGUCCAGACUCCUACGGGAGGCAGCAGUGGGGAAUAUUGGACAAUGGGCGAAAGCCUGAUCCAGCCAUGCCGCGUGUGUGAAGAAGGUCUUCGGAUUGUAAAGCACUUUAAGUUGGGAGGAAGGGCAUUAACCUAAUACGUUAGUGUUUUGACGUUACCGACAGAAUAAGCACCGGCUAACUCUGUGCCAGCAGCCGCGGUAAUACAGAGGGUGCAAGCGUUAAUCGGAAUUACUGGGCGUAAAGCGCGCGUAGGUGGUUUGUUAAGUUGAAUGUGAAAUCCCCGGGCUCAACCUGGGAACUGCAUC
rnacentral:rRNA from 1 species